AGACAGAGGACAAUGCACAGUGUACAUCCUGAUGACAUUUUGUGUGCUGUGACAUGGUUUUUGCCAUGGCAUCUGAGACUGAAAAGGCCCAUGCUCUUCUCCAAACUUUCAGCACCGCUUCAGUUAUUUCUAGUCUAGGUUUGGGAAUAUUCUGCUUUGUAGCAGACAGACUUCUGCAGUUUUCCUUCAUUCAGCAAAAUGACUGGCUCCGAGCCUUCUCUGAUAAUGCUGUGCAUGGGAUACUAGGAAUGUGGUCCUGGGCAAUAGUGAUUGGACUCAGGAAGAAAAGUGACUUCACUGAGGUCACUCUAGCUGGCUUCCUCGCUUCUGUCAUUGAUGUGGACCACUUCUUUCUUGCUGGCUCCCUGUCAUUAAAG